rnacentral:rRNA from 1 species
CCUACGGGGGGCAGCAGUGGGGAAUAUUGGACAAUGGGGGCAACCCUGAUCCAGCCAUGCCGCGUGUGUGAAGAAGGCCCUCGGGUUGUAAAGCACUUUCAGUGAGGAAGAACGCCUGGUGGUUAAUACCCAUCAGGAAAGACAUCACUCACAGAAGAAGCACCGGCUAACUCCGUGCCAGCAGCCGCGGUAAUACGGAGGGUGCGAGCGUUAAUCGGAAUUACUGGGCGUAAAGCGCGCGUAGGUGGCUUGAUAAGCCGGUUGUGAAAGCCCCGGGCUCAACCUGGGAACGGCAUCCGGAACUGUCAAGCUAGAGUGCAGGAGAGGAAGGUAGAAUUCCCGGUGUAGCGGUGAAAUGCGUAGAGAUCGGGAGGAAUACCAGUGGCGAAGGCGGCCUUCUGGACUGACACUGACACUGAGGUGCGAAAGCGUGGGUAGCAAACAGGAUUAGAGACCCGGGUAGUC